AUCAACUUUCGAUGGUAGGAUAGAGGCCUACCAUGGUAGUAACGGGUAACGGGGUGUUAGGGCACGACACCGGAGAGGGAGCCUGAGAAACGGCUACCACAUCCAAGGAUGGCAGCAGGCGCGCAAAUUACCCAAUCCCGACACGGGGAGGUAGUGACAAUAAAUAACAAUACGGGGUUCUUUCGGAUCUCGUAAUUGGAAUGAGUACAAUUUAAAUCUCUUAACGAGGAACAAUUGGAGGGCAAGUCUGGUGCCAGCAGCCGCGGUAAUUCCAGCUCCAAUAGCGUAUAUUAAAGUUGUUGCAGUUAAAAAGCUCGUAGUUGAAUUUCGGAAUCAAUAUGUUGGUCGUGCCUUGGUACGUACUGGCGUCAUUGGUUUCUACCUUCUGAAGGACCUCGAUGUCAUUAAUUUGGUGUCUUGGGGAAUCAGGACUGUUACUUUGAAAAAAUUAGAGUGUUUAAAGCAGGCUCACGCUUGAAUACAUUAGCAUGGAAUAAUGAAAUAGGACGUUUGAUUCUAUUUUGUUGGUUUCUAGGAUCGACGUAAUGAUUAAUAGGGAUAGUUGGGGGCAUUAGUAUUCAAUUGUCAGAGGUGAAAUUCUUGGAUUUAUUGAAGACUAACUACUGCGAAAGCAUUUGCCAAGGAUGUUUUCAUUAAUCAAGAACGAAAGUUAGGGGAUCGAAGACGAUCAGAUACCGUCGUAGUCUUAACCAUAAACUAUGCCGACUAGGGAUCGGAUGAUGUUAAUUUUUUAAUGACUCAUUCGGCGCCUUACGGGAAACCAAAGUGUUUGGGUUC
rnacentral:rRNA from 1 species